GCCAGGAUGGCUGAGUGGUCUAAAGCGCCAGGCUCAAGUCCUGGUCUCCCUUUGGAGGCGUGGGUUCAAAUCCCACUCCUGGCA